rnacentral:rRNA from 1 species
UACAGAGGGUGCAAGCGUUGUUCGGAAUUAUUGGGCGUAAAGGGCGCGUAGGCGGUUCGGCAAGUCUCUAGUGAAAUCUCUGGGCUCAACUCAGAGUCUGCUGGGGAAACUGCCGGGCUUGAGUGUGGGAGAGGAGAGUGGAAUUCCCGGUGUAGCGGUGAAAUGCGUAGAUAUCGGGGAGGAACACCUGUGGCGAAAAGCGGCUCUCUGGACCACAACUGGACGCUG